rnacentral:rRNA from 1 species
CUACGGGCCGCACCAGUGAGGAAUAUUGCACAAUGGGGGGAACCCUGAUGCAGCAACGCCGCGUGGAGGAUGACGCAUUUCGGUGUGUAAACUCCUUUUAUAUAUCAAGAAAAUGACGGUAGCAUAUGAAUAAGCACCGGCUAACUCCGUGCCAGCAGCCGCGGUAAUACGGAGGGGCAAGCGUUACUCGGAAUCACUGGGCGUAAAGGACGCGUAGGCGGGUUGGAAAGUCAGGUGUGAAAUCCUACAGCUUAACUGUAGAACUGCACUUGAAACUUCUAAUCUAGAGUAUGGGAGGGGGAGAUGGAAUUAGUGGUGUAGGGGUAAAAUCCGUAGAUAUCACUAGGAAUACCUAAAGCGAAGGCGAUCUCCUGGAACAUUACUGACGCUAAGGCGUGAAAGCGUGGGGAGCAGACAGGAUUAGAUACCCUCGUAGUC